CCUACGGGAGGCAGCAGUAGGGAAUAUUGGACAAUGGGCGCAAGCCUGAUCCAGCCAUGCCGCGUGAGUGAAGAAGGCCCUCGGGUUGUAAAGCUCUUUUGUCCGGAAAGAAAAGCGCCGGGUUAAUACCCUGGUGUCCUGACGGUACCUGAAGAAUAAGCACCGGCUAACUACGUGCCAGCAGCCGCGGUAAUACGUAGGGUGCGAGCGUUAAUCGGAAUUACUGGGCGUAAAGCGUGCGCAGGCGGUUGUGUAAGACAGAUGUGAAAUCCCCGGGCUCAACCUGGGAACUGCAUUUGUGACUGCACGGCUCGAGUACGGCAGAGGGGGAUGGAAUUCCGCGUGUAGCAGUGAAAUGCGUAGAUAUGCGGAGGAACACCGAUGGCGAAGGCAGUCCCCUGGGCCUGUACUGACGCUCAUGCACGAAAGCGUGGGGAGCAAACAGGAUUAGAUACCCUGGUAGUCCACGCCCUAAACGAUGUCAACUGGUUGUUGGGUGGGUUUCUACUCAGUAACGAAGCUAACGCGUGAAGUUGACCGCCUGGGGAGUACGGCCGCAAGGUUGAAACUCAAAUGAAUUGACGG
rnacentral:rRNA from 1 species